rnacentral:rRNA from 1 species
GACGAACGCUGGCGGCGUGCUUAACACAUGCAAGUCGAACAAUGAAAGCUGGAGCUUGCUCCGGCUGGAUUAGUGGCGAACGGGUGAGUAACACGUGAGCAAUCUGCCCUUGACUCUGGGAUAACUCCGAGAAAUCGGUGCUAAUACCGGAGAUGACCCUUGGCGGCAUCGCUGGGGGUGGAAAGUUUUUCGGUCAAGGAUGAGCUCGCGGCCUAUCAGCUUGUUGGUGAGGUAAUGGCUCACCAAGGCGACGACGGGUAGCCGGCCUGAGAGGGUGACCGGCCACACUGGGACUGAGACACGGCCCAGACUCCUACGGGAGGCAGCAGUGGGGAAUAUUGCACAAUGGGCGCAAGCCUGAUGCAGCAACGCCGCGUGGGGGAUGACGGCCUUCGGGUUGUAAACCUCUUUUAGCAGGGAAGAAGCGAAAGUGACGGUACCUGCAGAAAAAGCACCGGCUAACUACGUGCCAGCCGCCGCAGUAA